rnacentral:rRNA from 1 species
UGGGGAAUUUUGGACAAUGGGGGCAACCCUGAUCCAGCCAUGCCGCGUGAGUGAAGAAGGCCUUCGGGUUGUAAAGCUCUUUCAGCCGGGAAGAAAACGCAUGGGUUAAUACCCUGUGUGGAUGACGGUACCGGAAUAAGAAGCACCGGCUAACUACGUGCCAGCAGCCGCGGUAAUACGUAGGGUGCGAGCGUUAAUCGGAAUUACUGGGCGUAAAGCGUGCGCAGGCGGUUUGUUAAGAUAGGCGUGA